AUUGAACGCUGGCGGAACGCUUUACACAUGCAAGUCGAACGGCAGCACGGGUGCUUGCACCUGGUGGCGAGUGGCGAACGGGUGAGUAAUACAUCGGAACGUACCCAGUUGGGGGGGAUAACUAACCGAAAGGUUAGCUAAUACCGCAUACGACCUGAGGGUGAAAGCGGGGGACCGUAAGGCCUCGCGCAAUUGGAGCGGCCGAUGUCUGAUUAGCUAGUUGGUAGGGUAAAGGCCUACCAAGGCGACGAUCAGUAGCUGGUCUGAGAGGAUGAUCAGCCACACUGGAACUGAGACACGGGCCAGACUCCUACGGGAGGCAGCAGUGGGGAAUUUUGGACAAUGGGCGGAAGCCUGAUCCAGCCAUUCCGCGUGAGUGAAGAAGGCCUUCGGGUUGUAAAGCUCUUUCGGCAGGGAAGAAACGGCCUAGGUUAAUACCUUGGGCUAAUGACGGUACCUGAAGAAGAAGCACCGGCUAACUACGUGCCAGCCGCCGCAGUAA
rnacentral:rRNA from 1 species